GACGAACGCUGGCGGCGUGCCUAAUACAUGCAAGUUGAGCGCUGAAGGUUGGUACUUGUACCAACUGGAUGAGCAGCGAAUGGGUGAGUAACGCGUGGGGAAUCUGCCUUUGAGCGGGGGACAACAUUUGGAAACGAAUGCUAAUACCGCAUAAAAACUUUAAACACAAGUUUUAAGUUUGAAAGAUGCAAUUGCAUCACUCAAAGAUGAUCCCGCGUUGUAUUAGCUAGUUGGUGAGGUAAAGGCUCACCAAGGCGAUGAUACAUAGCCGACCUGAGAGGGUGAUCGGCCACAUUGGGACUGGGACACGGCCCAAACUCCUACGGGAGGCAGCAGUAGGGAAUCUUCGGCAAUGGACGAAAGUCUGACCGAGCAACGCCGCGUGAGUGAAGAAGGUUUUCGGAUCGUAAAACUCUGUUGGUAGAGAAGAACGUUGGUGAGAGUGGAAAGCUCAUCAAGUGACGGUAACUACCCAGAAAGGGACGGCUAACUACGUG
rnacentral:rRNA from 1 species